rnacentral:lncRNA from 1 species
UUAAAGAUAACAUGAAGAACUCCUCUUACUAAAAGAAUAUAUAUCGUAAAGGAAAAAAUGAUUACUUGAAUUUAGUUGGCUUACGAUCUGAACAGCUUCGUGGAAGCAACAACUGGUGAUGUUUGUGCCUUUCAAUACCCUAUAUAUACUAGCACUCAGUCCAGUGAUAAUCAAAUAGGUCCUAUAUUUUUGGACGGAGACAAUGAUAGAUCAAUGCAAUCGUGGGUAAGCUUUGUUUGGACGGUGGGCAACUUUUUCUUAUAGCUUUAUCUCUAUUACUCCCC